AUUGAACGCUGGCGGCGUGCUUUACACAUGCAAGUCGAACGGCAGCACGGGACUCAGGCAACUGAGCCCUGGUGGCGAGUGGCAAACGGGUGAGUAAUACUUCGGAACGUACCUUCCAAUGGGGGAUAACUACUCGAAAGAGUGGCUAAUACCGCAUAUGUCUAAGGAUGAAAGCGGGGGAUAGUAAGACCUCGCGUUAGUUGAACGGCCGAAGCAAGAUUAGGUAGUUGGUGAGGUAAAGGCUCACCAAGCCUGCGAUCUUUAGCUGGUCUGAGAGGACGAUCAGCCACACUGGAACUGAGACACGGCCCAGACUCCUACGGGAGGCAGCAGUGGUGAAUUGUGGACAAUGGGGGCAACCCUGAUCCAGCAACGCCGCGUGAGUGAAGAAGGCCUUCGGGUUGUAAAGCUCUUUUGUUAGGGAAGAAAUCUUCUAGGCUAAUACCUUGGGAGGAUGACGGUACCUAAAGAAUAAGCACCGGCUAACUACGUGCCAGCCGCCGCAGUAACAC
rnacentral:rRNA from 1 species